GCCUUCAUUCUUCAAUCCUGUGCUCCAUUCAACCUUCAUUGAUAUGGAUUUUGAGAAUGAGAACCAGAGAGAGAAAGAGAGGAUUUGGGAGAAAGAGACCAUCUCUUAAUUCACCCUCAUCUUCUGUUCUGUUGAUUGCGGCGAGGUGUACCCCGCGGCGGCGUUGAUUACUUUGCGCAGAUUUGUGAUGUAAGGAGUCCGCGAAGCUAUUAAAACUUGACUUCUUCACCGAGUGCUAAACGGUGUUUUACUUUGAAAUUAUUGGAGAAAUUUUCUUUUAUACCUGGCAGCGCAUCAAUCACGGGAUAACUACAAGGACAUCGAAAGGCUGUAGGACUACGACGACCGGCUCAACGAUUCCAACAGCAAAUAUCAGGGUUGACAAUGCCGCCACGAUUCAGAAGAGGCAGAGGCAAGGCCCCAGUGACGGGCCAUGACCACGAGGCCGAACCUUCCCACCGGGCCGCCACGAUUCAAAUGUUGAACAUUAACAUUUACCAAAUCUAAUCAAAAGAACAUAUUCAUCCCUAUUCUCUCAAACCCUAAUACUCAAUCAUAGAAUACAGAUUCAAUAGUUUGUAUUUAUGUUUUGAUAAGGCAAAUUUGACAUUAGAUGUAUAUAUGAUAUAUGCAGAAUCUGGUGCUAAACCAGCAACAAAAAAUUAUCAAAACUACUUAAAGUUUGAAUAUGGGUGUGAGAGGGGUGGUUAGUUUGACCUUGAUGUAUUGUCGAAGUUAUAUCCCAACCGAACGUCAUGAUCAUUUUUCUCAUCAUAUAUUAGAGUUUUCGUUUGGUUUUUAGACUUGUGGUUUGCUAUAAAUUUCAAACAAUCCCAACCAAAAGAGUACAAACUAUUCGUCUAUGCCUUUAUUUUAUUUUAUUUAUUGGUGUCUUUGCUAUUGUUUGAAUUAGUCUUUUGGGUAGUGCAGGUUCAGGUGUUGAGUUUUAUUUGUUGCUAGCCAACGGAGCAAGCAGAUAACUACUUCUUGAUUAUUAAUGUUCUAAACGUAACCCGUUUUGCAGGCAUUUGUUGGGGUUGUAGUCAUCGUAUUCAUUGGUAUAAGUCGUGGAUAUCUUCCAGCAACAAGGAAGACAAGGACACUAAUCUACAGUAUUUAAAAAAUAUCAAUAAAUUUCAUAAAGCUAACAAACCAUUUCAAACUUGUGUAGAGAUUUUGUACAACAAGUUUUUCUCUCUUUUGUACACCAAAUCCCCGCCGAUUCACUAAGCAGAUGACAAAACUACCCCACCAAAGAAAGGCAAGAAUCAUGGACUAGGCUCGAUGCUAUUGAUUCAAUAUGAUGAUUCACUUUUGGGGCUAGGCUCGAUGCCUUUUGGUAUAUCGUUGUUGUUGGUUGUGAUCAUUGUGUGGUUUUUGUUGCUACCACAUGGCUACCAGCAACAACCGAGUUGGUAAUGAGAUUUCACAUGGUACUGAGUUUCUGAGCCUGAUAAGAAUACUUGGAGAAGGCUUUGAUGAUUGGGUAGAAUUUAUGCAAGGAUGAAUUUUUAUUGUGUUGGCGGCCAAAAGAGAGGGUCAUUUGAAUGGCUUUACCUUCACUUGGAAACCAUAUGCAGUCAGGGUAGACUUAUCCUCUUCAUUUUGAAGAUAAAGUAUUAUGCAUUUUGGCGGGGCAACCGGUAUGGUGCUUUUUGUUAGGGAUCCUAUAUGUGUCAAUCAGUGAGCCUUUUUGUUGUUUACGAUUGUUAACUUCACAUAUUCUUCUCGUGUGAUUCGCUUUGCCGACAAAAGCAAUUUGGUGGCAUUCGUGAUGGUCAUGUGAUUGUAGUGAAUUGCUUUACAAUAUUAGUAGCAGUAUAUGUCAAUUAUAUUACUUUGCAUUUGAGUUGUAUAACUUGGCGAAGGUUGGAGAGAAUAGUCAUGCUAUGUUACCGGACUUGAAUGCCUUUUCAUGUGAAUUUGUUUCCUCACAAAAGGCAAGUCUUGGCAGCUUAGAUGGUCAUAUGAUAUCACAUGGCUAUCGGUUAAUUUGUAAUCUAUUUUGAAAAAAUUGAAUGCCAUGAAUUUGUUUGUUACUAUUUGUAUGUUU
rnacentral:lncRNA from 1 species